GGAAAAUCAACAAAAAUAGCCACAUGCCCCAUGCUGGCUAUAAAAAGAGAACCAAUGCAGCAAUAUUAUAACAUUUCAGUUGUGCGUACUAUAGUGGUAUUUCAUAAACAGUUAGCAGUCGGCAAACAUGGCAUCAUAUCCGUGUAUUCUGGUAAUCUUAAUCAUUCACCUGACAAUAUGUGAUCUUCCUACAGCACUUGCCGCUGGCGGAGGUUGCUGGGCGGCUCCGAUGUUCUACGGACCGACAUGCAGUUCUGACACAUCUAUAUUUGGAAGUCCAGGUCACACCAUUCGGUAUUCAAUCGACGUAAUUGGAGACACUCAACUAUGCUGCAAUGCAUUAUCAUGUAGCCAUUCCUGCAGUCUUGUCAAUAUUGGGUGCGGCCACGGGAGUUGGAGUUCCGGCUCUUUGCCUUGGGGCAAUAACCUUGCUACACCACAAAUUAAAUGUAAAGGUGUUCCCUUGGGAUCUUCAUACACAUUUUCGCACUAAUAACCGCACGUUGAGAUCCAUGACAACAUACUGUGGCCUAUUUGACUUCUCUUGGAAACGAUGAAUUUCAAAGUAAUUUGGAAUAAUGUUAAAAAUUUGGUUAAUUUGUUCUUUAAUUGCUACUGAUUUUGUGAUUAAAACAUCGAAUAAA